GAUGAACGCUAGCUACAGGCUUAACACAUGCAAGUCGAGGGGCAGCAUGAGGUCAGCUUGCUGACUUUGAUGGCGACCGGCGCACGGGUGAGUAACGCGUAUCCAACCUGCCCAUGACUAAGGGAUAAUCCGUAGAAAUGCGGUCUAAUACCUUAUGUUGUCCGAGGAAGACAUCUGAUUCGGAUGAAAGAUUUAUCGGUCAUGGAUGGGGAUGCGUCCGAUUAGCUUGUUGGCGGGGUAACGGCCCACCAAGGCGACGAUCGGUAGGGGUUCUGAGAGGAAGGUCCCCCACAUUGGAACUGAGACACGGUCCAAACUCCUACGGGAGGCAGCAGUGAGGAAUAUUGGUCAAUGGACGAGAGUCUGAACCAGCCAAGUAGCGUGCAGGAUGACGGCCCUAUGGGUUGUAAACUGCUUUUAUACGGGGAUAAAAGAUGUCACGUGUGACAUUUUGCAGGUACCGUAUGAAUAAGGACCGGCUAAUUCCGUG
rnacentral:rRNA from 1 species